GACGAACGCUGGCGGCGUGCUUAACACAUGCAAGUCGAACGGAAAGGCCCUGCUUUUGUGGGUUGCUCGAGUGGCGAAAGGGUGAGUAACACGUGAGUAACCUGCCCUUUACUUUGGGAUAACUUCAUUAAACUGGGUCUAAUACCGGAUAUGAGCUCCUGCUGCAUGGUGGGUGUUGGAAAGUUUCGGCGGUUGGGGAUGGACUCGCGGCUUAUCAGCUUGUUGGUGGGUUAGUGGCUUACCAAGGCUUUGACGGGUAGCCGGCCUGAGAGGGUGACCGGCCACAUAGGGACAGAGAUACGGCCCAGACGCAUACGGGAGGAAGCAGUGGGGAAUAUUGCACAAAGGGCGGAAGCCGGAUGCAGCAACGCCGCGUGCGGGAUGACGGCCUUAGGGUUGGAAACCGCUUUCGCCUGUGACGAAGCGUGAGUGACGGUAAUGGGUAAAGAAGCACCGGCUAACUACGUG
rnacentral:rRNA from 1 species